rnacentral:rRNA from 1 species
AGAGUUUGAUCAUGGCUCAGGAUGAACGCUGGCGGUGUGCCUAAUACAUGCAAGUCGAACGGGAUCUUCGGAUCUAGUGGCGAACGGGUGAGUAACACGUUGGUACCUACCCCUAAGUGGGGAAUAACUGCCCGAAAGGGUGGCUAAUACCGCAUAAUCCCGCAAGGGUAAAGCAGUAAUGCGCUUAGGGAGGGGCCUGCGUCUGAUUAGCUAGUUGGUAGGGUAAUGGCCUACCAAGGCGACGAUCAGUAGCUGGAUCGAGAGGUUGACCAGCCACACUGGGACUGAGAUACGGCCCAGACUCCUACGGGAGGCAGCAGUAAGGAAUCUUCCACAAUGGACGAAAGUCUGAUGGAGCAACACCGCGUGCAGGAUGACGGCCUUCGGGUUGUAAACUGCUUUUAUAUGGGAAGAUUAUGACGGUACCAUAUGAAUAAGGACCGGCUAACUACGUGCCAGCAGCCGCGGUAAUACGUAGGGUCCAAGCGUUAUCCGGAAUCACUGGGCGUAAAGCGUGCGUAGGUGGCGUGUUAAGUGUGAUGUUAAAUCGUGGGGCUCAACCCUGUCGGUGCAUCACAUACUGGCAUGCUAGAGGACAGCAGAGGCAAGUGGAAUUUGUAGUGUAGCAGUGAAAUGCGUAGAUAUUACAAGGAACACCAAUGGCGAAGGCGCUUGCUGGGCUACUCCUGACACUGAGGUACGAAAGCGUGGGGAGCGAACAGGAUUAGAUACCCUGGUAGUCC